AUUGAACGCUGGCGGCAUGCCUUACACAUGCAAGUCGAACGGUAACGGGCCUUCGGGUGCCGACGAGUGGCGAACGGGUGAGUAAUGUAUCGGAACGUACCUUUCAGUGGGGGAUAACGUAGCGAAAGUUACGCUAAUAGCGCAUAUUCUGUGAGCAGGAAAGCAGGGGAUCGCAAGACCUUGCGCUGAUUGAGCGGCCGAUAUCAGAUUAGCUAGUUGGUUAGGUAAAGGCUCACCAAGGCGACGAUCUGUAGCGGGUCUGAGAGGAUGAUCCGCCACACUGGAACUGAGACACGGUCCAGACUCCUACGGGAGGCAGCAGUGGGGAAUUUUGGACAAUGGGGGCAACCCUGAUCCAGCCAUGCCGCGUGAGUGAAGAAGGCCUUCGGGUUGUAAAGCUCUUUCGGCCGGGAAGAAAUCGUAUCAGCUAAUACCUGGUGCGGAUGACGGUACCGGCAUAAGAAGCACCGGCUAACUACGUGCCAGCCGCCGCAGUAACAC
rnacentral:rRNA from 1 species